CAGCAGCCGCGGGAAUACGAAGGGUGCAAGCGUUACUCGGAAUUACUGGGCGUAAAGCGUGCGUAGGUGGUGGUUUAAGUCCGUUGUGAAAGCCCUGGGCUCAACCUGGGAAUUGCAGUGGAUACUGGGUCACUAGAGUGUGGUAGAGGAUAGUGGAAUUUCCGGUGUAGCAGUGAAAUGCGUAGAGAUCGGAAGGAACAUCUGUGGCGAAGGCGACUAUCUGGGCCAACACUGACACUGAGGCACGAAAGCGUGGGGAGCAAACAGGAUUAGAUACCGAGUAGUCCCUGUCUCUUAUACC
rnacentral:rRNA from 1 species